GACGAACGCUGGCGGCGUGCUUAACACAUGCAAGUCGAACGGAAAGGCCCUGCUUUUGUGGGGUGCGCGAGUGGCGAACGGGUGAGUAACACGUGAGUAACCUGCCCUUGACUUUGGGAUAACUUCAGGAAACUGGGGCUAAUACCGGAUAGGAGCUCCUGCUGCAUGGUGGGGGUUGGAAAGUUUCGGCGGUUGGGGAUGGACUCGCGGCUUAUCAGCUUGUUGGUGGGGUAGUGGCUUACCAAGGCUUUGACGGGUAGCCGGCCUGGGAGGGUGACCGGCCACAUUGGGACUGAGAUGCGGCCCAGACUCCAACGGGAGGCAGCAGUGGGGAAUAUUGCACAAUGGGCGGAAGCCUGAUGCAGCAACGCCGCGUGCGGGAUGACGGCCUUCGGGUUGUAAACCGCUUUCGCCUGUGACGAAGCGUGAGUGACGGUAAUGGGUAAAGAAGCACCGGCUAACUACGUG
rnacentral:rRNA from 1 species